UCCCAGUUCGGACUGGAGUCUGCAACCCGACUCCACGAAGUUGGAUUCGCUAGUAAUCGCGCAUCAGCCAUGGCGCGGUGAAUACGUUCCCGGGCCUUGUACACACCGCCCGUCAAGCCAUGGGAGCCGGGGGCGCCUGAAGUCCGGGACCGCGAGGACCGGCCUAGGGCGAAACUGGUAACUGGGGCUAAGUCGUAACAAGGUACC
rnacentral:rRNA from 1 species